CCUACGGGGGGCUGCAGUGGGGAAUAUUGGACAAUGGGCGAAAGCCUGAUCCAGCCAUGCCGCGUGUGUGAAGAAGGCCUUCGGGUUGUAAAGCACUUUCAGUGGGGAAGAAAGCCUUGGGGCUAAUACCCUCGAGGAAGGACAUCACCCACAGAAGAAGCACCGGCUAACUCCGUGCCAGCAGCCGCGGUAAUACGGAGGGUGCGAGCGUUAAUCGGAAUUACUGGGCGUAAAGCGCGCGUAGGCGGUCUGAUAAGCCGGUUGUGAAAGCCCCGGGCUCAACCUGGGAACGGCAUCCGGAACUGUCAGGCUAGAGUGCAGGAGAGGAAGGUAGAAUUCCCGGUGUAGCGGUGAAAUGCGUAGAGAUCGGGAGGAAUACCAGUGGCGAAGGCGGUCUUCUGGACUGACACUGACGCUGAGGUGCGAAAGCGUGGGUAGCAAACAGGAUUAGAUACCCGAGUAGUC
rnacentral:rRNA from 1 species